rnacentral:lncRNA from 13 species
CUAGAUGUAAUUUUUCCAAUCUACAUUCUUGUUUAUAGCAUACCACCAGAACAGUGCAGAUUCGAAUCCUGCAGCUAUUUGAUUUCAAGCUUUAAAUUCAUCUGAUACACCUGGUGGGACCCCAAUAGCAUCUAUAUAAAUGUGGGGGUCAAAAGACACGAGGAUCACUUCUUUUUAUCUGAUUCUCUUUCUUGUUAUUUUGACAGAAUGCCAGGAUGAAAGGGAUGGCCAGUUAAACCAGAGCACAACUGCAGCUCCAGUUACUUCGCCGAGUACCUAAUAGUAGUCUACCACAAUACCACCAUACAUCUGCUCAGGAGUGAACAAGGGCUGUUGGACUGGUUAAUUUCCUGCUGUCCUCCAUGAGCAAAGCUGUUGCUGCUACAGACUGGACACGUUCAGGCCAUCCUUGGAUUAUGGGCCUAGAAUUUUUGACAAAAAGUCUAUGGGCUGCUGGUGGUCCAUAUGUUCUUGGCGUAAGAAGCAAGGCUGAAUGGAUGGUAGCAAUAAUCACGUGCUUUCAUUCUGUGGUCGGCAAGAGGAGGAAAGAAACAAAUGCUGAUGGGUUUAUUCUAUGACACUACAGCACCAAAAGGUACAAAAAGUGUUUCACUAUUUAAAAAAAUGUAUUUUUAGCCACAUUAGCUUCAAUU